rnacentral:rRNA from 1 species
AGAGCGAACGCUGGCGGCAGGCUUAACACAUGCAAGUCGAACGGAUCCUUCGGGAUUAGUGGCGGACGGGUGAGUAACACGUGGGAACGUGCCUUUAGGUUCGGAACAACACAGGGAAACUUGUGCUAAUACCGGAUGUGCCCUUCGGGGGAAAGAUUUAUCGCCUUUAGAGCGGCCCGCGUCUGAUUAGCUUGUUGGUGAGGUAAAGGCUCACCAAGGCUACGAUCAGUAGCUGGUCUGAGAGGAUGGCCAGCCACAUUGGGACUGAGACACGGCCCAAACUCCUACGGGAGGCAGCAGUGGGGAAUCUUGCGCAAUGGGGAAACCCUGACGCAGCCAUGCCGCGUGGAUGAUGAAGGUCUUAGGGAUUGUAAAAUCCUUUCGAGUCGGGGACGAUAAUGACGGUACCCGCAGAAGAACGCCCCGGCUAACUUCGCGCCAGCAGCCGC